GUAGGUGGCAAGCGUUGUCCGGAAUUAUUGGGCGUAAAGCGCGCGCAGGCGGUUUUUUAAGUCUGAUGUGAAAGCCCACGGCUCAACCGUGGAGGGUCAUUGGAAACUGGAGAACUUGAGUACAGAAGAGGAAAGCGGAAUUCCACGUGUAGCGGUGAAAUGCGUAGAGAUGUGGAGGAACACCAGUGGCGAAGGCGGCUUUCUGGUCUGUAACUGACGCUGAGGCGCGAAAGCGUGGGGAGCAAACAGGGAUUAGAUACCCUGGUAUCCACGCCGUAAACGAUGAGUGCUAAGUGUUAGGGGGGUUUCCGCCCCCUUAGUGCUGCAGCUAACGCAUUAAGCACUCCGCCUGGGGAUACGGCCGCAAGGCUG
rnacentral:rRNA from 1 species